ACUCAAAUGAAUUGACGGGGGCCCGCACAAGCAGUGGAGCAUGUGGUUUAAUUCGACGCAACGCGCAGAACCUUACCCGGGCUAGAAAAGCACGGAACCUGAAUGAAAGUUUGGGGUGCCCGCAAGGGAACCGUGAUCCAGGUGCUGCAUGGCUGUCGUCAGCUCGUGUCGUGAGAUGUUGGGUUAAGUCCCGCAACGAGCGCAACCCUUGUCCUCAGUUGCCAGCGGUUCGGCCGGGCACUCUGAGGAGACUGCCGGCGUCAAGCCGGAGGAAGGUGGGGAUGACGUCAAGUCCUCAUGGCCCUUAUGUCCGGGGCUACACACGUGCUACAAUGGUCGGUACAGAACGGCGCGAACCCGCGAGGGGAAGCCAAUCGGCAAAAGCCGACCUCAGUACGGAUUGCAGUCUGCAACUCGACUGCAUGAAGCCGGAAUUGCUAGUAAUCGCUGAUCAGCAGGCAGCGGUGAAUACGUUCCCGGGCCUUGCACACACCGCCCGU
rnacentral:rRNA from 1 species